rnacentral:rRNA from 1 species
GAAAUGCGAUAAGUAAUGUGAAUUGCAGAAUUCAGUGAAUCAUCGAAUCUUUGAACGCACCUUGCGCUCUUUGGUAUUCCGAAGAGCAUGCCUGUUUGAGUGUCAUAAAAUUCUCAAUUCUCUUGAUUUUGUUUAUAAAUGAAGAAAAUUGGAUAUGGAGGGUUUUGCUGGCUUAAUAUGUCGGCUCCUCUUAAAUGCAUUAGCUGAGCUUUCACUUGAUGCAAYGGUGUAAUAAUAAUCUUCACCGACGUCACGAGUGAUAAAGGCUUGCUUCAAAUUGUCUCUAUUUGAGACACUAUAAAGUGCCUAAGGGUGCUUUUGAUUCUUUUGACCUCAAAUCAGGUAGGAUUACCCGCUGAACUUAA